rnacentral:rRNA from 1 species
UUCCGGUUGAUCCCGCCGGAGGCCAUUGCUAUCGGAGUCCGAUUUAGCCAUGCUAGUCGAGCGAGGUUAGCCCUCGCGGCGAACAGCUCAGUAACACGUGGCCAAGCUACCCUGCAGAGGGAGACAGCGUCGGGAAACUGACGGGAAUCCCCCAUACCGGUCUCACGCUGGAAUGCCGAGACCGACAAACGCUCCGGCGCUGCAGGAUGCGGCUGCGGCCGAUUAGGUAGUCGGUGGGGUAACGGCCCACCGAGCCGAUAAUUGGUACGGGGUGUGAGAGCACGAGCCCGGAGACGGAAUCUGAGACAAGAUUCCGGGCCCUACGGGGCGCAGCAGGCGCGAAACCUUUACACUGCACGAACGUGCGAUAAGGGGACUCCGAGUGCGAGGGCAUACAGUCCUCGCUAUUGUGUACCGUAGGGUGGUACACCACCAAUAGCUGGGCAAGACCGGUGCCAGCCGCCGCGGUAAUACCGGCAGCUCGAGUGAUGGCCGAUUUUAUUGGGCCUAAAGCGUCCGUAGCUGGCCCUGCAAGUCCGUCGGGAAAUCCACUCGCCUAACGAGUGGGCGUCCCGGCGGAAACUACAGGGCUUGGGACCGGAAAUACUCUGAGGGGUACGUCUGGGUGUAGGAGUGAAAUCCUGUUAU